rnacentral:rRNA from 1 species
CUAUCGGAUUGAUACUAAGCCAUGCGAGUCUUUGCAGUAAUGCAAGGCAUACGGCUCAGUAACACGUAGUCAACUUACCCUAUGGACGAGGAUAAUCUCGGGAAACUGAGCAUAAUACUCGAUAGAUCAUAAUGCCUGGAAUGGUUUAUGGUUAAAAUGAUUCGUCGCCAUAGGAUGGGACUGCGGCCUAUCAGCUUGUUGGUGAGGUAAUGGCCCACCAAGGCGAUUACAGGUACGGGCUCUGAGAGGAGAAGCCCGGAGAUGGGUACUGAGACAAGGACCCAGGCCCUAUGGGGCGCAGCAGGCGAGAAAACUUUGCAAUGUGCGAAAGCACGACAAGGUUAAUCCGAGUGAUUUCUGCUAAAGAAAUCUUUUGCAAGUCAUAAAACCACUAGUGAAUAAGGGGUGGGCAAGUUCUGGUGUCAGCCGCCGCGGUAAAACCAGCACCUCAAGUGGUCAGGAGGAUUAUUGGGCCUAAAGCAUCCGUAGCCGGCUCUGUAAGUUUUCGGUUAAAUCCAUGUGCUCAACGCAUGGGCUGCCGAAAAUACUGCAUAGCUAGGGAGUGGGAGAGGUAGACGGUACUCGGUAGGAAGGGGUAAAAUCCUGUGAUCUAUCGAUGACCAGCUGUGGCGAAGGCGGUCUGACAGAACACGUUCGACGGUGAGGGAUGAAAGCUGGGGGAGAAAACCGGAUUAGAUACCCGGGUAGUCCCAGCUGUAAACGAUGCAGACUCGAUGAUGCAUUGGCAUAUAGCCAGUGCAGUGUCGCAGGGAAGCCGUUAAGUCUGCCGCCUGGGAAGUACGUACGCAAGUAUGAAACUUAAAGGAAUUGGCGGGGGAGCACCACAAGGGGUGAAGCCUGCGGUUCAAUUGGAGUCAACGCCAGAAAUCUUACCCGGAGAGACAGCAGAAUGAAGGUCAAGCUGAAGACUUUACCAGACAAGCUGAGAGGUGGUGCAUGGCCGUCGCCAGCUCGUGCCGUGAGAUGUCCUGUUAAGUCAGGUAACGAGCGAGAUCCUCGCCACUAGUUGCUAUCAUUAUUCUCAGGAAUAAUGGGGCGAAUUAGUGGGACUGCCGUUGUUAAAACGGAGGAAGGAGG